rnacentral:lncRNA from 1 species
GGAAAGCUCCAUGGAAGAUAAAGGCAGAGAUUUACAAGCCAAGGAAUGUCAAAGACGGCCAGCACACCACCAGAAGCUAGCAGAGAGAGACGGGGUUUUACCACGUUAGCCGGGCUGGUCUUGAACUCCUGACCUCAGGUGAUCCACCCGCCUCGAUCGCCCAUUAUUAACAAUCAAAUGGCUGUUCUUCAUGGUACUGGUACAAAAACAGAUAUAUACACCAAUGGAACAGAACAGAGGCCUCAGAAACAACACCACACAUCUACAACCAUCUGAUCUUUGACAAACCUGACAAAAACAAGCAAUGAAGAAAGGAUUCCCUAUUUAAUAAAUGGUGUUGGGAAAACUGGCUAGCCAUAUGCAGAAAACUGAAACUGGACCCCUUCCUUACACCUUAUACAAAAAUUAACUCAAGAUGGACUAAAGAUUUAAACAUAAGACCUAAAACAAUAAAAACCCUAGAAGAAAACCUAGGCAUUACCAUUCAGGACAUAGACAUGGGCAAAGACUUAAUGACUAAAACACCAAAAGCAAUGGCAACAAAAGCCAAAACUGACAAAUGAGAUCUAAUUAAACUAAAGAGCUCCUGCAUAGCAAAAGAAACUAUCAUCAGAGUGAACAGGCAACCUACAGAAUGGAAGAAAAUUUUUGCAAUCUAUCCAUCUAACAAAGGGCUAAUAUCCAGAAUCUACAAGGAACUUAAACAAAUUUACAAGAAAAAACAACCCCAUCAAAAAGUGGGCAAAGGAUAUGAACAGACACUUUUCAAAAGAAGACAUUUAUGCAGCCAACAAACAUGAAAAAAAGCUCAUCAUCACGUCAUUAGAGAAAUGCAAAUCAAAACCACAAUGAGAUACCAUCUCACGCCAGUUAGAAUGGCGAUCAUUAAAAUGUCAGGAAACAACAGAUGCUGGAGAGGAUGUGGAGAAAUAGGAAUGCUUUUACACUGCUGGUGGGACUGUAAACUAGUUCAACCAUUGUGGAAGAGAGUGUGGCAGUUCCUCAAGGAUCUAGAACUAGAAAUACCAUUUGACCCAGAAAUCCCAUUACUGGGUAUAUACCAUAAGGAUUAUAAACGAUUCUACUAUAAAGACACACGCACAAGUAUGUUUAUUGCAGCACUAUUCACAAUAGCAAAUAAUUGGAACCAACCGAAAUGCCCAUCAAUGAUAGACUAGAUAAAGAAAAUGUGGUACAUAUACACCAUGGAAUACUAUGUAGCCACAAAAAAGAGUGAGUUUAUGUCCUUUGCAGGGACAUUGAUGAAGCUGGAAGCCAUCAUUCUCAGCAAACUAACACAAGAACAGAAAACCAAACACUGCAUGUUCUCACUCGUAAGUGGGAAUUGAAUAAUGAGAACAUAUGGGCACAGGGAAGGGAACAUCAUACACUGGGGCCUGUCGGGGAGUGGGGGGCACUCUAUCAUUAGGAGAAUUACCUAAUGGAGAUGACGGGUUGAGGGGUGCAGCAAACCACCAUGGCACAUGUAUACCUAUGUAACAAACCUGCACGUUCUGCAUACGUAUCCCAGAACUUAAAGUAUAAUAAAAUAAAUAAAUCAAUAAAUAAAUACAUAAAUAAUAAAAAUCGCUGUUCUUAACAACUGGCUUGCAAAAUUUGACUCUAGCAAGCAAGAAGAUGUGGGCUCUGGCAUGCUACUGCAUGAAGGCAAGAGGAAAACAUUAGGAGCCAAUUUUAGCAUAAUAUUUUGAAGUUGCUGCUUCCAUUGGAGUCACUGUGGCUGCUGGCAACAUGCUGGAGAGGUGGAUAUCAGUUAGGCAGCCACAGAUCCUGGUGGGACCCCAGAAAAAUCGCAGGGGGUGCUCAAAUCCAUAUGUUUAUAUGUGAUUUCUUAACAGAGAGUAAAAACACAAUUUAAAUGAACAUGAUUUUUGAAAGCAACAGCCCAUUUUCUUCAAUUCUAAAAAUGGAAACCUGAAAAAGGGUACACACCAUCGUGUAUGGAAUACGAUAUAUAGUGAGGGAAUAAAGUUCACAGUUGGGUGAACAAAAGUUCCAUCCAUCUUGGUAUUCACAACCUACUCUGCCUUACCAACACUUUUCCACAUAUUGUGGGAAAGAUUAUCUCAGAUGACUGCAUGCAUAUUGCUUGGGUAGGACAAUUUCCUACUAAUUGCCAGGAACAACCAAACCCUAGUGGUAAUCAUCAAAGCUUAGGCCAAUCCUGUUACAAGUACACAAUGAAUACGCAUCUAAAAGACUUGGCGUAGUGCCUGGUCUUGACAACAUGUAAUUAACCCUAGCUAUAAUUCUGGAUGGCACAGAGUUUCAGUGAGAAGCAAUUUAAGGAAAAACACAUGCUCCUUUAAACAAUUUUAGAUUUUAUCAGUCAAUGAUUUUAGAAAGUUACCAUCAUCCUUUAUAACAUUUAAGAACAUGUCAAUGGAAAAGUCACUGGAUUCAGAGUUGAGGAACUAGAUUCUGGUCUUGAUUCUGCUACUACCUAUCUGUGUGAUGUUAAGUAAGUAAUGUCACUUCUAUGCACCCUGGUUUUCCAAUUUCUAAAGUAAGGGUGUUGGGGUAAGUAAGGGCUAUUUUUUUAAUGAAAAAAUCCAACCUCCACAACUAAAAAAAUUUCAUGUCCUAUGAAUUAGAAAUUCAACAAAUAUGUCCUCAAUGUUACUCACUUGAACAGCCAUUAAGACCCUUUUACGGAUUUUCUAAAGUCACAUUCUCUUUUGUUCUUCUGAACAAACACUGAUUCCCCUUGUUUCCAAAUGUAUAUUUGACCUUUCUUCAAUGUUUAUUAUCAGUCUUCCCCACUGAAGUUUGUUUACUUAUGAGAACAGGGCUCUCUUUCCGGUAGAUCAUAAAGCAAUUCCCGGAAGGGCCUCGGGUGGGAGGAUGUGCUCAGGUACAGAAGAUAUCUCACAAUGUUGACCUAUUAAGAAAAUGGGUGGUCCUAGACUCUGGGCUGGUGAGCAUUUUUCUUCUGCCUUCUAGCAAUUUCUUAUAAAUGGCAAAGUCUUGUUUUAAAAAUCUGAGUCUGUGUUUUUUUUUCUUCCCCUAGUACUGUUGAAUAAAAAAUUCUACAUUUCCAAGCAUACUGUGCCUGCGAUCAAAUGAUGACACAAUCAGCACCCCUAAUAAUAGUAAUAGCUUCCCUUGAUUGAGGCUCUGAG